GGAUGAACGCUAGCUACAGGCUUAACACAUGCAAGUCGAGGGGAAACGAUAGGGAAAGCUUGCUUUCCCUAGGCGUCGACCGGCGCACGGGUGAGUAACGCGUAUCCAACCUGCCCAUGUCUGGGGAAUAACCCGUCGAAAGGCGGACUAACUCCCCAUGGUCUCCGAUGAGGACAUCUGAAUUGGAGUAAAGCUUCGCGGACAUGGAUGGGGAUGCGUCUGAUUAGGUAGUAGGCGGGGUAACGGCCCACCUAGCCCACGAUCAGUAGGGGUUCUGAGAGGAAGGUCCCCCACAUUGGAACUGAGACACGGUCCAAACUCCUACGGGAGGCAGCAGUGAGGAAUAUUGGUCAAUGGACGCGAGUCUGAACCAGCCAAGUAGCGUGCAGGAUGACGGCCCUAUGGGUUGUAAACUGCUUUUGCGCGGGGAUAACACCCUCCACGUGCUGGAGGUCUGCAGGUACCGCGCGAAUAAGGACCGGCUAAUUCCGUGCCAGCAGCCGCGGUAAUACGGAAGGUCCGGGCGUUAUCCGGAUUUAUUGGGUUUAAAGGGAGCGUAGGCCGUGAGGUAAGCGUGUUGUGAAAUGUAGGCGCCCAACGUCUGCACUGCAGCGCGAACUGCCCCACUUGAGUGCGCGCAACGCCGGCGGAACUCGUCGUGUAGCGGUGAAAUGCUUAGAUAUGACGAAGAACCCCGAUUGCGAAGGCAGCUGGCGGGAGCGUAACUGACGCUGAAGCUCGAAAGCGCGGGUAUCGAACAGGAUUAGAUACCCUGGUAGUCCGCGCGGUAAACGAUGGAUGCCCGCUGUGGCGCGCCUGGCGUGCCGCGGCUAAGCGAAAGCAUUAAGCAUCCCACCUGGGGAGUACGCCGGCAACGGUGAAACUCAAAGGAAUUGACGGGGGCCCGCACAAGCGGAGGAACAUGUGGUUUAAUUCGAUGAUACGCGAGGAACCUUACCCGGGCUUGAACUGCAGGAGAACGAUUCAGAGAUGAUGAGGUCCUUCGGGACUCCUGUGGAGGUGCUGCAUGGUUGUCGUCAGCUCGUGCCGUGAGGUGUCG
rnacentral:rRNA from 1 species